rnacentral:lncRNA from 1 species
UAUCUAAGAUCGCAGAAGACAUUAUGUCUGAACAAGAUGAAAACUGUGCCAGCACUGAUGACAGCGAGGAAGGGGCGAAAAUUUGCAAAAUGUUAGAGCAGGCGGCUGAGCCUGAAGUUAUGAUGGCUGGCUUGACCUCAGAGCAGAUGAUAUCUUUCUCAUCUUAUCAAGCAAAGCAAAAGGUAUGCACAAUUAUCCCCCGCAUCCACCAACUAGUACUUGGGAAGCUGCGAAAUUUGUGCCAUUAUAUUUCAGGAAGCCAGGCAAAACGAAGUAGCUAAGAAGGUCGAAAAUGCUCUGGAAGUUGCCGGCCUUAGUUCAAGAGAUGUUACGCCAUUUUUGAAAGUGAGGGUGACGAGCCUUGCUCACAAAAUCUCUGCUACAAAAACCAUCAACAAGGAAGGGCUAAUAACAAUUUGGAACCCUACUGAGAAGCAGGUAUGUUACAAUUUUUAUUCUCCGUUGAAAAUAGAAGAAAGACCAUUCGGUGUUAUAUCAUUGAAACAAACUACAAAUGCUGCAUUUUAUUUUUUACGGCUAUGGUGCUGUAUGUUUUCUUGACCAAGACUAAUGUUUAUUUGCUUUGUAUUAUUCCCCAAACACUGUACUUAUGAGCUCUCGAAAAUUAGCCUAGACAUUAUUACAUUUCACUGUUUCUUCUCACAGAAAGCCGACCUGGUGGAGGGACAAGUCUACAUCGCCACAGGAUUGCUGCCUUCUGCCCACUGUACGAACAUUCUUUACUUGCAUGCUAGAGGAUCAUCUACAAUGUGGAAGCCAUUAGCAUCGGCACAGGCUGCAGAUUUUCAGUAAGAGUCCACUGCACAGUAUCCUCUGAUUGUAUUGUUCAGAAUUAACCACGCUUCUUUAUUGCAGACCAUUUUUUACCCCACGUAAGGCGGUUGAGCUGUCAUUGAUUGGUGAGGUACCACUUGCAAGGUUAGUCUAGUUAUCCUGGAGAAAGGUGAUCUGUUGAAUCUGUCAAUCUGGGGUCAAUGCAUUAAUGAAUCUCCUAAUGGGUAGUCUUUCUUGCAGUGAAUUUGACAUUGCAGGUGUUGUUUUGCAUGUCGGCGAAGUUUACUUAUGCAGCAACCAGAAAAGGCAGUGGCUCUUUUUGACAGAUGGAUCCAAAUUUAUCUCGGCAUCGCAGUCCACAGAGCAAGAUGAUUGUCUUCUAGCAGUUAGCUUUUCUUGCUCAUCUGCCAGCGACGAUGGUGCCUUUUUCAGUUAUGCCCUUUCUGGAAAUACAGUAGGUUAUCUCAGACUCUGGUCUUUAUUCCAAGUUGAUGGUUCUUCCAAGUCUGAAUUUUAUUGGUCCCAUAUGUCACCAUCAACAUAUUGAAACCUUUGCACUAAACGAUACCUCAUGAAUUCAGUGUGUAGACAUUUGAAACUGUACUGUAUUGCCAGCAAAAGAAAUGCGGUGUCUACUUCAUUGUUCAACUUUUAUACAUUUAUAAAGCAAGUGCAGCUUUUAGCUUACUGUACCUCUAUCUCUGUUGCUCAGGUUGGUUUCAGUAACUUGGUCAAGCGACAGAAGGACCAGACAAGGCACAUAUGGGUAGCCGAGGCAACACAGAACUCUACAUUCACUCUUUCCCAUGAGAUAUCAAAAAAAUCGCAUCUUAAGGAAGCUGCAACAUGUGCUGAGAAAUGGGCUUCAAGUUCUUUUGAUGUAAGUUUCUUCAGAUUAGAGAUCACAUUCAUUUUUGAGAUUUUCUGAUCUGUUGUAACUCACUGUUGUGCUGCAAUAUGAAUGGCCCCUUUCAGAAAAUCCAGCAGCUAAAGGAAAAGGUUUUAUGCAUAAUUGGUGAUAGCGGUGGCUGAUGUACUGUGGAAUAAUGAAGGCUGCUGCUUUUCGAAGUAAUGUAAGAAAAUGUUUGAAGUUGUGCAGAGUUUACUGUCCACACUGGAUGCUCAUUGGUAGUGAAGCGAUAUCGGCGUAACAAAGAUACCUAUUUAUUAUGCCUAUGCACUUUAUAGGUACAAAGUUUAGGCCACACUGUUUGUAGCUGGAUUCUUUUUAAUUCUCCAUAAGUACCUAUUCGUUUCUCCACAUUUGCCAACUGCAUGUUUAGUAAUUAAUACCUGUGUUGCAGAGAUUGCGAGGCGGAGCAUUACAGAUCAGCUAAACUUGUGGAACAAAUGCGAUUACCGACAAGCACUUCUUGAAUACUCAAGAUGACAGCCACAGGGAUUGGAAUCAAUAUACAUCAACCGGGAGACGAACAUGACAGGAAAUUUAUGAUUCAGGCUUCGACCGAUGAUGCUUACGCCCCCCUCGUGAGUCGUGACUGAAUCUUUGGCUGUUCAGCUGGCAGCCAAGAUUGCCCGCACCCUUCAACUUCAGCAGGUCUCCUUCCUCACGGACAACCUCUCUCUCGCGAAGAUGGCCGCGCUUCCAGGAACAUCAUUGGCCGCAGCAUAAAUGCUUGGGCGGUGUACUAAUGCUGGUGUACCGAGCUAAAUGUUUUUGAGACAAGACACUUCCAUGAGAGAUGAGUAUCAUGGAUUUUUGAUCAUGAUGCUGUUUUCUUGUAUGCUACUCCUCUGGACCUACAUUUUGGUACAGAGGUA